CUUUCAGACCCAUUUUUUGAUUAGGAACUCAAAAACAGUCUUCUUUCUCUGCUUUUUGGAGUGUGUAUGCAGAUUCUAUCAACCCUAACUUGUGAAAAAUACACACCAACAAAGAUCUGUAAAGCACAAGGGAGAUUUUUUCCAGAAUCUUCAUACCAAAAAAACAAUGGCGUACAAUUCAAUCGAUCGAAAACUUGAUUGCAACUUAUCCGGAGCCCGACGGAAUAUACGACGAUCAGAGACCCGAUUUCUGCUAUAGGAUUCGAACCUGCGCGGGCAAAGCCCACAUGAUUUCUAGUCAUGCCCGAUAACCACUCCGGCACGUCCACCGAUAUGUCAUACUCCGGCACGUCGUUAUUCAUCGUAAAAACGUAUCAAGAAAAGGGGAAAGAGUCAUCGUUGGGUGAUUGAUUCAUUGAGGUUCGUGUAUGUAAAUAUCAAAUAUCUUGAUUUGUGAUGCUAUUAGCAGUGUAAAUGAUCAAUAAUAUCGUCAUCUGGUGAUAAUUAGGUUGAAUUUUUAGAUAAUUUGUGAUACUACAACCACUUCAUCAAUACUAUCUGUCCAUUAUAUUUACUUCAUCAAUAUAUUUGUGAAAGAGAAAUUCAUAAAAAUACACUCUGCAGCCACAAAAUAUUGAUGUUUGUUUAGCCUAAAAUCAAAAUAUAGUGUAAAGUUAUUUAAUUUAAAUUAUACUUAUUAGCGGAUAUACCUCGAUGUAUAUUUGAAUAUCUUGUAUUUAUUUAUGUAAAGUAUCAUCCCUUAUUGUGUUC